AAUCAACGCUGGCGGCGUGCCUAACACAUGCAAGCCGCACGAGAAAGGGAGUUCGCUCCUGAGUAAAGUGGCGCACGGGUGAGUAACACGUGAAUCAUCUACCUCUGAAUGGGGAAUAACUGAGAGAAAUCUUAGCUAAUACCGCAUAAUACCUACGGGUCAAAGCAGCAAUGCGUUUGGAGAGGAGUUCGCGGUCGAUUAGUUAGUUGGCGGGGUAAUGGCCCACCAAGACGAUGAUCGAUAUCCGGCCUGAGAGGGCGCACGGACACACUGGAACUGAAACACGGUCCAGACUCCUACGGGAGGCAGCAGUGGGGAAUUUUGCGCAAUGGGGGAAACCCUGACGCAGCAACGCCGCGUGGAGGAUGAAAUA
rnacentral:rRNA from 1 species